rnacentral:rRNA from 1 species
AUUGAACGCUGGCGGCAGGCCUAACACAUGCAAGUCGAACGAGUGGCGGACGGGUGAGUAAUGUCUGGGAAACUGCCCGAUGGAGGGGGAUAACUACUGGAAACGGUAGCUAAUACCGCAUAACAUUGGAUGUGCCCAGCUGGGAUUAGCUAGUAGGUGGGGUAACGGCUCACCUGGGCGACGAUCCCUAGCUGGUCUGAGCGGAUGACCAGCCACACUGGAACUGAGACACGGACUAGAGUCCUACGGUAGGCAGCAGUAGGGGAUAUUGCACAAAGGGCGCAAGCAGGAUGCAGGCAAGGCGCGAGGAUGAAAAAGGCGUUCGGGUUGUAAAGUACUUUCGGCGAGGAGGCGUUACUCGCAGAAGAAGCACCGGCUAACUCCGUGCCAGCCGCCGCGGUAAUAC